GUUUCUUCAUCAGAACAGAGUCAUUCAUACUAGCAUCUUCCUCUCCACAGGGAGGCAGGAGACCCACGGGAGGGCGGAGCAUGACUUUUGUCCAGGAGGCUGGACUACCGACUUCAGCAGGGAAAGGGCCCUCUGGCCCGCACAGCAUGGAUAUGGGCAGAACGGUUUUUCCUAACUAGGCCUUCUGGGUUGCAGCAGAACAGCAUGUGUCUGCUUCUCAAAUGUAACAGGUAGGUAUUGGGAUUAAACGAGAAUGUCAGCUCCACCUGAGUAUGAGUUUGGUUUGUUUUGUCCACU
rnacentral:lncRNA from 1 species